rfam:Felis catus isolate Cinnamon breed Abyssinian chromosome A3, whole genome shotgun sequence.
GCCUGGGUGGCUCAGUUGAUUAAGCGUCUGACUUUGGCUCGGGUCAUGAUCUCACGAUUCGUGGGUUCAAGCCCCUCAUCAGGCU